UAGUCUGUUUGGAUCAGACCCUUAUUUAGUAGUGUCAGAUCCUCACUCAAAUACUCAGAACCUUUAGUUUCUCCAAGUUUGGUUGUAUCAUUCUCCCCAGGUUGAAAAGAACUCAUCCUCGAGUUCUAUUAUUUUUUUUCAAAUAAGGUG
rfam:Populus trichocarpa isolate Nisqually-1 chromosome 4, whole genome shotgun sequence.